AGAGAGAGACAUGCGCGCAUAUCAAUAAGCGGAGGAAAAGAAACUAACUAGGAUUCCCUCAGUAACGGCGAGUGAAGCGGGAAGAGCUCAAAUUUGAAAUCUUCAAGGUUCUACCUUGACGAAUUGUAGUUUAAAGAAGUGUUUUCUGCUGAAGUUUUGGUAAAAGUUCUUUGGAAUAGGACAUCAUAGAGGGUGAGAAUCCCGUAUUUGACCAUUAUUUUCAGCUUUGUGAUACACUUUCAAAGAGUCGGAUUGUUUGGGAAUGCAGUCCAAAAUGGGUGGUAAAUUUCAUCUAAAGCUAAAUAUUGGCGAGAGACCGAUAGCGAACAAGUACCGUGAGGGAAAGAUGAAAAGAACUUUGAAAAGAGAGUUAAACAGUACGUGAAAUUGUCAAAAGGGAAGCGUUUGACACCAGUGUUGUUCUCUCGAAAAUCAAUUAAAAAUGGCUCGAUUUUGUAUUGCUUGAGACCUUAAAAGCUCACUGUACAUUUUUCGUGUCUUUUUUAAUGCACUUUUCGUUUAACAAGUCAACAUCAGUUUCUUUUGUUGUAAAAGGGUCAUUGGAAGGUGGCUUUCUUUUCGGAGAAUGUGUUUAUAGCCUUUGGCCUCUGCAAUCGGAGAGACUGAGGUCUGCAGCGUAGACUCUUCGGGGUUAGAUACAUUUGUGCUAAGUUAUAGCUUUUUAUAGACAACUUGUUGACUAUAAUUAGUCUUGUAGCUUACUCGCUUAUGCUAUUUUACCUACGCUUAGGAUGUUGAAGAUGUAGCACAUCAU
rnacentral:rRNA from 1 species